CUGGAAACCGAGCCAAGACGAGCGAGAAACCAAGUUCGCUGACAUCCCUCAGGCAAGCUACUUGCUGUGGCAUUCCACAAGGAGACCUCUCGCAGGCAAAAAUCCUUUGAGUCCAAUAAUGCUGCCCCCUGUACGUGUGGACCCCCACCUCCGGCAACAAAACAAAACAAAAACAAGCUCAGGAACCUCUCCUCUCUGCUGCCCCGCUCUUCUCUCACAAGAUACAGGAAGUACACCUCCUUGGCAUGUCUCGUUGAUUGGUAGAAACUGAGUGGCCGGGUGUGUCUCCCAAGCACGCCUAGUCAAGGCCUCCUGCCUGGCAGUUUCAGCCUCAGCCUCCUUCUACUGAUUUGCUCACCAUUCCUUCUCUAUGCAUGUCCAAAUAAUCUCAGUCUGGCCUCUCUGGCUCUGUCUCUAAAACACUUAACAUGAGCUGCCCCUCUGAUGAACUCAUUCCUGAUCCGACCCAUCCUCAUCAUCACUCCCGAAGGGAACCUCAACAUCUUCAUCUCUGCCACCUCCAGCUCUGCCUCCUCCUCAGUGCCUCUGUCUCUAAACCAGACGACAUUGCUGGUCUCACCGCCUUUCCUUCAUUCUCGCUAUAACUCUUUCAUCACACAACACACCUGACACUUUCCUCCGCCUGUUCAAACCUGCUUAGACACGUUUUUUUCGCCUCUUUUCCGGGAUGUCGGUGCGCCACCUAAAAAUGUGAAUUUUACAACAAGUCAGUGUCAUUUUUUUUCUUUUAGCCAUUUCAUACGUAAACAAAAUCCAGAACUGUGUUUAUCUGGAGAGUGAUGUUAGAAGACAGCUACAGCAGAAAGCGCAGAAAGCAUGGAAAAAGCUCUGAUAAGAAUCUUCUUGGAAAAACAUUCUGGUGAAUAGUUGUUUUCUCAGAAGACGGUGAGCUAGCUUGUAGCAGUGAGAUCCUGGAAGUUUUACCCAGACUUUUGGUGGCUCUUAGCCUAAUUGUGGCUAAAGGAGAACUUUAAAAGUAAAAAAAGUCAGAACAAGAACUAAAGCAAAAGUUCUGUGUGCAUCAGUGUUUAUGUGCUGCAAUAACUGGGCUCUGUUAUGUUAUGAUCAUAAUCUGCCUUACUUCAUUAUGGUGAUGUACUAAAAAUACAUUA